GUUUUAUCACCCAAUAACAA
rnacentral:snRNA from 1 species